rnacentral:rRNA from 1 species
UACGAAGGGGGCUAGCGUUGCUCGGAAUCACUGGGCGUAAAGGGCGCGUAGGCGGCGUUUUAAGUCGGGGGUGAAAGCCUGUGGCUCAACCACAGAAUGGCCCUUCGAUACUGGGACGCUUGAGUAUGGUAGAGGUUGGUGGAACUGCGGAGUGUAGAGGUGAAAUUCGUAGAUAUUCGCAAGAACACCGGUGGCGAAGGCGGCCAACUG